AUUGAACGCUGGCGGCGUGCUUUACACAUGCAAGUCGAACGGUAACAGCCUUUCUGGUUCUGAUGCUUGGCGGACGGGUGCGUAAUUCAUCGGAACGUACCCAGCGGUGGGGUUUAACGCAGCUAAAGCUGUGCUAAUACCGCAUGUGAUCUGAGGCUGAAAGCGGGGGACGGCGCAGCAAUGUUUGGCCUCGCGCGUUUGGAUCGGCCGAUGUCGGAUUAGCUAGUUGGUGGGGUAAAGGCCUACCAAGGCGACGAUCCGUAGCUGGUCUGAGAGGACGGUCAGCCACACUGGGAGGGGGACACGGACCAGACGACUAAGGGAGGCAGCAGUGGGGAAUGGUGGACAAUGGGCGCAAGCAUGAUCCAGCAAGGCCGCGUGCGGGAAGAAGGCCUUCGGGGCGGAAAGAGGUUUUGGGAGGAAUGAAACGGUGUCGGCUAAUACCGGGCGCUAAUGACGGUACCUGCAGAAGAAGCACCGGCUAACUACGUG
rnacentral:rRNA from 1 species